GUCAGGAUGGCCGAGUGGUCUAAGGCGCUGCGUUAAGUCCGCAGUCUCCCCGGGAGGCGUGGGUUCAAAUCCCACUUCUGACA
rfam:Gasterosteus aculeatus cont1.016686, whole genome shotgun sequence.